rnacentral:rRNA from 1 species
CCUACGGGAGGCACCAGUGGGGAAUAUUGGACAAUGGGGGGAACCCUGAUCCAGCGACGCCGCGUGAGUGAAGAAGUAUUUCGGUAUGUAAAGCUCUAUCAGCAGGGAAGAAAGAAAUGACGGUACCUGACUAAGAAGCCCCGGCUAACUACGUGCCAGCAGCCGCUGUAAUACGGAGGGGGCAAGCGUUAUCCGGAUUUACUGGGUGUAAAGGGAGCGUAGACGGCGAUGCAAGUCUGAAGUGAAAGGCGGGGGCCCAACCCCCGAACUGCUUUGGAAACUGUAUGGCUUGAGUGCAGGAGAGGUAAGUGGAAUUCCUAGUGUAGCGGUGAAAUGCGUAGAUAUUAGGAGGAACACCAGUGGCGAAGGCGGCUUACUGGACUGUAACUGACGUUGAGGCUCGAAAGCGUGGGGAGCAAACAGGAUUAGAUACCCCUGUAGUC